ACACAGUUCCAAGUAAAAAUUGAAAUUUCUCUUAUAUAAUCAUUUCUUUAAAGUGUGUUUAAAGUUUACAAAGACUGCAAAUGGAUACCAGGAAAGUACCAACUCCCAAUUCUGGCGUUCAUCCCAACAAAGAUAACGAAGAUGUCUUACGUGAGCGAUAUGGGGUUCGAGAUCGAUUUUGAAAACGAAUACGAUAAUCUACUAAGGGCGGAAGAGGCCUAAUUAGCUGCUCUAGCUCUAAAAAUCAGAGAGCUGAAAAAGACUAUAGAGCACCUAAACAGAAUUAUGGCGGAGGUGAUUGUCGAUAUGAGCCAAAUAGAAGAAGUCAUACGCCCAGACAAGCAGAAAAGAGAAAGGCCAAGGGACGAAAACUCAUCGACUGACAGGAAGGAUAAACUUCCUCACCCCCAUAAAGAUAAUAUAAUAUAUGUUGAAAACACCGAAUUGUGAUAACAUCCAAAAUGCAGAAACACCAAUAAGGAAAAUUGAAAACCAGAGAAGCUCCAGUUACGGACAGAAUAAGAAAUUGUAUGAUAAAGAAGAUGCCCAGAAAAAAAUAUCAGCACUAACCACUAUAGCCAAUGUAGCGAUGGGAACAGACUAAUAUUGAAAGAAGAUGAAAAACUACAUAAGUAAAUUUAUUCAAUAUGCCAGGGAAAGAUAAAGGUUUUCCAUAAAACUGCAGGACAAUACGUCUAGUUGCAGCCCCUUGAAGAAUAGUUGAGAGAAUCAUUGCAAAAGGAGUAAACGUAGAAACAGAAGCACUGAAUCUGAUAUCA